rnacentral:rRNA from 1 species
AUUGAACGCUGGCGGAAUGCUUUACACAUGCAAGUCGAACGGCAGCACGGACUUCGGUCUGGUGGCGAGUGGCGAACGGGUGAGUAAUGUAUCGGAACGUGCCCAGUCGUGGGGGAUAACGUAGUGAAAAUUACGCUAAUACCGCAUACGAUCUAUGGAUGAAAGCGGGGGAUCGCAAGACCUCGCGCGAUUGGAGCGGCCGAUAACAGAUUAGGUAGUUGGUGGGGUAAAGGACCACCAAGCCAACGAUCUGUAGCUGGUCUGAGAGGACGACAAGCCACACGUGAACUGAGACACGGUCCAGACUCCUACGGGAGGCAGCAGUGGGGAAUUUUGGACAAUGGGCGAAAGCCUGAUCCAGCCAUUCCGCGUGCAGGAUGAAGGCCCUCGGGUUGUAAACUGCUUUUGUACAGAACGAAAAGGUUUCUACUAAUACUAGGAGCUCAUGACGGUACUGUAAGAAUAAGCACCGGCUAACUACGUGCCAGCCGCCGCCGUAA